GUAGCGGGAGGAUAUAUCAUACCGGAGCGAGCAUAUCAAUGAGCGGAGGAGCAUAUCAUUAAGCGGAGGAGCUUAUUUUUCAGCGGAGGAUCAUGAACGUCGUUUUAUUAUAACAAAAUAAAACUUUCAACAACGGAUCUCUUGGCUCUCGCAUCGAUGAAGAACGCAGCGAAUUGCGAUAAGUAAUGUGAAUUGCAGAAUUCAGUGAAUCAUCGAAUCUUUGAACGCAGCUUGCGCUCUCUGGUAUUCCGGAGAGCAUGCCUGUUUCAGUGUCAUGAAAUCUCAACCACUAGGGUUUCCUAAUGGAUUGGAUUUGGGCGUCUGCGAUUUCUGAUCGCUCGCCUUAAAAGAGUUAGCAAGUUUGACAUUAAUGUCUGGUGUAAUAAGUUUCACUGGGUCCAUUGUGUUGAAGCGUGCUUCUAAUCGUCCGCAAGGACAAUUACUUUGACUCUGGCCUGAAAUCAGGUAGGACUACCCGCUGAACUUAAGCAUAUCAAUAAGCGGAGGAA
rnacentral:rRNA from 1 species